rnacentral:rRNA from 1 species
AAGCGCGCGUAGGUGGUUUGUUAAGUUGGAUGUGAAAUCCCCGGGCCUCAACCUGGGAACUGCAUUCAAAACUGACUGACUAGAGUAUGGUAGAGGGUGGUGGAAUUUCCUGUGUAGCGGUGAAAUGCGUAGAUAUAGGAAGGAACACCAGUGGCGAAGGCGACCACCUGGACUAAUACUGACACUGAGGUGCGAAAGCGUGGGGAGCAAACAGGAUUAGAUACCCCUGU